GGAGAUAGCUGGUACUCCCCGAAAUAGCUUUAGGGCUAGCCUCAGGGAAGAUUAUAGACGGUAGAGCACUGAUCUGGCAAGGGGGCGUAAAGCCUACCGACCCUAGUCAAACUUCGAAUGGCUAUAAUUAAGACCCUGGGAGUCAGACUGCGAGUGAUAAGACCCGUAGUCAAGAGGGAAACAGCCCAGACCGCCGACUAAGGUCCCCAAUGCUGUACUAAGUGGAAAAGGAUGUAAGACUUCAUAAACAACCAGGAUGUUGGCUUAGAAGCAGCCACCAUUAAAAGAGUGCGUAAUAGCUCACUGGUCGAGAGGCCUUGCGCCGAAGAUGUCCGGGGCUCAAGUACAGAACCGAAGUCGCGGCAGGAUUUAUAAUUCUGGGUAGGGGAGCGUUGUAUAUCCGACUGAAGGUGUACCGGAAGGAGCGCUGGAGGAUAUACAAGAGAGAAUGCCGGUAUGAGUAGCGAAAAGAACAGUGAGAAUCUGUUCCACCGAAAGCCUAAGGUUUCCUGAGCAACGCUCGUCGACUCAGGGUAAGUCGGGACCUAAGCCGAGGCAAAAAGCAUAGGCGAUGGACAACAGGUUAAUAUUCCUGUACCGCUUCAAAUCGUUUGAGCAAUGGAGUGACACAGAAGGUAGCUUGAGCACGCGAAUGGAUGUGCGUGUCGAAGGUGGUAGGUUGCAGUAUAGGCAAAUCCGUACUGUAUAAGACCGAGAACUGAUAGAUAGACGAUACUUCGGUAAAGUCAAAUUCAAGUGAGCCAUGCUGUCGAGAAAAGCUUCUAGUGAGAGAUGAGGCGCCCGUACCGAAACCGACACAGGUAGGCGGGGAGAGAAUCCUAAGGUGCGCGGGACAACCCUCGUUAAGGAACUCGGCAAAUUGUAUCCGUAACUUAGGGAUAAGGAUAGCCGGAGGAUGUGAAGGAAUUUACUUCUGGAGCGUCAGCCGGUGGCACAAGAGAGGCCCAAGCGACUGUUUAGCACAAACACAGGUGCCUGCAAAAGAGAAAUCUGACGUAUAGGUGCUGACACCUGCCCGGUGCUGGAAGGUUAAGAGGAGGGCUUAGAGGCAACUCGAAGGCUUGAAUUGAAGCCCCAGUAAACGGCGGCCGUAACUAUAACGGUCCUAAGGUAGCGAAAUUCCUUGUCGGGUAAGUUCCGACCCGCACGAAAGGUGUAACGACUUGGGCACUGUCUCAACGAGGGACCCGGUGAAAUUGAAGUACCUGUGAAGAUGCAGGUUACCCGCGACUGGACAGAAAGACCCCAUGGAGCUUUACUGCAACCUGACAUUGAUGUUCGGUAAAUAACGUACAGGAUAGGUGGGAGACGGAGAAGUAUUGGCGUUAGCUGAUAUGGAGUCAACCUUGGGAUACCACCCUUUAUUUAUUGGACCUCUAACUGAAGAAGUAACGACUCUCAGGACAGUAUCAGGCGGGCAGUUUGACUGGGGCGGUCGCCUCCCAAAAUGUAACGGAGGCGCCCAAAGGUUCCCUCAGCGCGAACGGAAACCGCGCAAAGAGUGUAAAGGCAGAAGGGAGCUUGACUGCGAGUCAGACACGACGAGCAGGUACGAAAGUAGGGCUUAGUGAUCCGGUGGUUCCGAGUGGAAGGGCCAUCGCUCAACGGAUAAAAGCUACCCUGGGGAUAACAGGCUAAUCUCUCCCAAGAGUCCAUAUCGACGGGGAGGUUUGGCACCUCGAUGUCGGCUCAUCACAUCCUGGGGCUGGAGCAGGUCCCAAGGGUUGGGCUGUUCGCCCAUUAAAGUGGUACGUGAGCUGGGUUCAGAACGUCGUGAGACAGUUCGGUCCAUAUCCAUCGCGGGCGUAAGAGACUUGAAGGGGGCUGCUCCUAGUACGAGAGGACCGGAGUGGACGGACCAAUGGUGUACCAAUUAUCCCGCCAGGGGUACAGUUGGGUAGCU
rnacentral:rRNA from 1 species